rnacentral:rRNA from 1 species
CAGCAGCCGCGGUAAUACGUAGGUCCCGAGCGUUGUCCGGAUUUAUUGGGCGUAAAGCGAGCGCAGGCGGUUAGAUAAGUCUGAAGUUAAAGGCUGUGGCUUAACCAUAGUACGCUUUGGAAACUGUUUAACUUGAGUGCAAGAGGGGAGAGUGGAAUUCCAUGUGUAGCGGUGAAAUGCGUAGAUAUAUGGAGGAACACCGGUGGCGAAAGCGGCCCUCUGGCUUGUAACUGACGCUGAGGCUCGAAAGCGUGGGGAGCAAACAGGAUUAGAUACCCGCGUAGUCCCUGUCUCUUAUACA